rnacentral:misc_RNA from 1 species
GGACAAGGAUGACCAUCUUCUACCUAUGUGAUUUCUCCUCUUUGACCAAUCGCAAAGAUGGAUAACUCCUUUCUCUUUCCAAAUGUUUCAUGCAUUCCAAAGUGGUUUUUCCUUCCUGAACUUCUUUAUAUUAGGGAGAAUGGGAUACACCAAUUUUGUACUAAAUUUGAGUUCAAGUUUUCCAAGAUUGAGCUUUACUUUUUGCAUUUCUUUAACAGAACUCAUUGACUUUACUCAAAUACUAUAACUUAUGUUUAAAAAUGGUUGUCAAGGCUUUGAACCCUUUUUCAUAAUCCCCCCCAAUUAGUUUUUCCCUUUUGAGGGUAAUUUUAAAAUCUAGACUUUUUCAAGUUUAUAUUUUCUAAAACACAAUUGAACAUUUUCAAAUAAUAUUUUUCUUUUAGCAAUAAAUUGAUACCAAUUUUUCUUUAGAGAAGCUCACACACACACACUAGAGCAGAAUUAUUUUGUUUGAGCCAUUUUUCAUGAACUAAAUCUAGCUCUUGCAUGAUAUUGUAUACAGUACGUGGUUUUUGCUCAAACAAGUCCAUAACAUUGACUGUAAAUUCUGGAACCUGUGACAACCUAAUAAGAUUACCAUUGUCAGAAAAAGAAUUAAUAUUAUCUGUUUGUGUUAAGAUUUAAGCUUUUGUUAUUGUAGCUGCAAGCAACCUAAGCGCUAAAGCUGAGAAGAUGUAUUGUAUGUAAAUGAGAUUUUGUGAAAGGUGCACCUGGUACAUGUACAUGUAUGAUAGCUAGUUUGUGGACGAUGUUUUGAUGGUUUUGUGCAGAUAUUAGUUUUAUCUGCAAUGUUAUAAAACAACUUAAAGAAGACAUCAAAGAAGUAUUUUAUUGAAUGAUUCUUUGGUUGGGUCACCAUAUAUCCAUGGUAACAGUGUGUUUGUCCAUCUAGUUUAUAGUUUAGAACACAAUCUAAUCAGGUAUAUUAAGUUUUUUGCUACAUCCUGAAAGCAUUUUGUUUGUUAAAACAUGCAUUUUGAAAUCCUAAUAUUUUUUUUAGCAUUAUUUGUGCGGUUUCUUUUGUGUUUUUUUUUUAACUUGAUAUAUGGCAGAGGUUAUAAGUGCGUCUAAAGUACCAGCUUUGUUGCCAUCAAAGCAAACUUAAUGCUCAGAGUACUGUAAAUUCCUAAUUAAACGCGCGGAAUUAAUAUCCGCGUAAAAUCGCGAGAAGUUUGUCUAGCGAAUUUUAAAAUCUCGCUUUUAAUUUACAGACAUAUGUUAACUACAUGAAACUAUGAUAAAAUUUCGGCAAUCGCGAUUUGAUGGAAAACUGUUGAAUCGCGGUAUUAAGUACUCGGUUAAAAAGAAGGAAUAUACAGUAAACAAGAAAUCAAUUUUCUUUGAUUUGGGUACAUGUGUAUGCUUUACAUGUCUUCAUGUGCAAAAGAGUUGAACAAAUGAUUUUAUUGAACGAUUGUGGUUCUGUUUAAAUACUCAUGCAAUGUGUACAAGGUCAUUUAACUUCUGGUUCAGAGUUUAUAAGUUGAUGUUUAUUCAUUAUAAUCAAUUUUAUUGUGUCAAACGCAUUAAUCCCUGUGUUUGAAAUAAACAUUUCAUUCAC